CGAUCCCACAAGGGAGAGUGGCGGAAGGGUGAGUAACACGUAGGAAUCUACCCCGACGGAGGGAACAACCUAUCGAAAGAUGGGCUAAUACCCAAAAGGAUCCGUAAUGAUCAGAGUCGAAAGGCCUGUCGGGAUGAGCCUGCGGCGCAUCAGCUAGUUGGUGAGGUAAAAGCUUACCAAGGCUACGACGCGUAGGGGGUCUGAGAGGACGUCCCCCCACACUGGAACUGAAACACGGUCCAGACGCCUACGGGUGGCAGCAGUGAGGAAUAUUCGUCAAUGGGGGAAACCCUGAACGAGCAACGCCGCGUGGAGGAUGAAGGCUUUCGGGUCGUAAACUCCUUUUCAGGGAGACGAGAAAGGACGGUAUCCCUGGAAUAAGUCACGGCUAACUACGUGCCAGCAGCCGCGGUAAUACGUAGGUGACGAGCGUUAUCCGGAUUUACUGGGCGUAAAGCGCUUGUAGGUGGUUUUGUAAGUUGGACGUUAAAUCUCCAGGCUCAACUUGGAGAGGCCGUUCAAUACUGCAAGACUAGAGGAUGUCAGAGGAAGGUGGAAUUCCAGGUGUAGUAGUGAAAUGCGUAGAUAUCUGGAGGAACACCCAUGGCGAAGGCAGCCUUCUGGGACAUUCCUGACACUGAGAAGCGAAAGCUAGGGGAGCAAACAGGAUUAGAAACCCUGGUAGUCCUAGCUGUAAACGAUGAAUACUAGGUGUUGGUGGCUUUAACCCCACCAGUGCCGAAGCUAACGCGUUAAGUAUUCCGCCUGGGAAGUACGAUCGCAAGAUUA
rnacentral:rRNA from 1 species